rnacentral:ribozyme from 1 species
AAAAAAAGAAAAGAAAGUACUCUCUAUAGGAAGAUAGAACUCAUAUAAAGGGAGUAUAUUCGUAAUUGUGCUUAUUUUUAUUCCACUUUAUGAAUUUCGCUGUGUCUCUUCCUUCUCU